UACAGAGGGGGCAAGCGUUGUUCGGAAUUACUGGGCGUAAAGGGCGCGUAGGCGGCCUGCUAAGUCGAACGUGAAAUCCCUGGGCUCAACCCAGGAACUGCGUCCGAUACUGGUUGGCUUGAAUCCGGGAGAGGGAUGUGGAAUUCCAGGUGUAGCGGUGAAAUGCGUAGAUAUCUGGAGGAACACCGGUGGCGAAGGCGGCCUGCUGGGCUGUUGCUGACGCUGAGGCGCGACAGCGUGGGGAGCAAACAGG
rnacentral:rRNA from 1 species